GAAAUGCGAUAAGUAAUGUGAAUUGCAGAAUUCAGUGAAUCAUCGAAUCUUUGAACGCAUAUUGCGCCCUUUGGUAUUCCGAAGGGCAUGCCUGUUCGAGCGUCAUUUCACCACUCAAGCCUAGCUUGGUAUUGGGCGCCGCGGUGUUCCGCGCGCCUUAAAGUCUCCGGCUGAGCUGUCCGUCUCUAAGCGUUGUGAUUUCAUUAAUCGCUUCGGAGCGCGGGCGGUCGCGGCCGUUAAAUCUUUCACAAGGUUGACCUCGGAUCAGGUAGGGAUACCCGCUGAACUUAA
rnacentral:misc_RNA from 1 species